AUUGAACUCUGGCGGCAGGCCUAACACAUGCAAGUCGUGCGAGCGGCGGACGGGUGAGUACUGUCUGGGGAUCUGCCUGAUGGAGGGGGAUAACUACUGGAAACGGUAGCUAAUACCGCAUACCAUCAUAUGCACCCAUAUGGGAUUAGCUUGUAGGUAAGGUAACGGCUUACCUAGGCGACGAUCCCUAGCUGGUCUGAGAGGAUGAUCAGCCAAACGGGGACUGAGACACGGCCCAGACUCCUACGGGAGGCAGCAGUGGGGAAUAUUGCACAAUGGGCGCAAGCCUGAUGCAGCCAUGCCGCGUGUAUGAAGAAGGCCUUCGGGUUGUAAAGUACUUUCAGGCGGGAGGAGUUAACGACAGAAGAAGAACCGGCUAACUCCGUGCGAGAAGCCGCGGUAAUAC
rnacentral:rRNA from 1 species